AUUGAACGCUGGCGGCAUGCCUUACACAUGCAAGUCGAACGGCAGCGGGCCUUCGGGUGCCGGCGAGUGGCGAACGGGUGAGUAAUGCAUCGGAACGUGCCAUUGAGUGGGGGAUAACGUAGCGAAAGUUACGCUAAUACCGCAUAUUCUGUGAGCAGGAAAGCAGGGGACCGCAAGGCCUUGCGCUCUUUGAGCGGCCGAUGUCAGAUUAGCUAGUUGGUGAGGUAAAGGCUUACCAAGGCGACGAUCUGUAGCGGGUCUGAGAGGAUGAUCCGCCACACUGGAACUGAGACACGGUCCAGACUCCUACGGGAGGCAGCAGUGGGGAAUUUUGGACAAUGGGCGCAAGCCUGAUCCAGCCAUGCCGCGUGAGUGAAGAAGGCCUGGUGUAAGC
rnacentral:rRNA from 1 species